rnacentral:lncRNA from 1 species
CAGGGUGCUAAAACCGCGCCCCUCCUCACAACAGUCUCUUCCUCAGCCCUCCUCUCACAUGGCUCUCCAAUACUCGGGGGAGAGGCAGCCUCAAUGGAGUGACAACACACCUGUGAAGAUUCCAUCAACCUGAGCCCACGAGGAAAGCAGCCUUUCAAGGUCUCAAGAUCUGGCCUGAAGAAGAGCUUGAGGCUGAAAAACACCGCCCCCAAAGGGCCACUUACCCUUGCAUGCGCUGCGUCUAGAAUGGUGCCACAUUGGGUCUCUCCACUCCCCAAAAGAAGUCUACAUGAUGCUUCAUUACAAUGACUGCUGUCCACCUGAAGGAAGGAUUGGCAGUGAGUGAAUUCAUCCGUUCUCAUCUGGUUCACAAGACUUUGCCUGGCUGAAUGACCUAAGGCACCAGCAAUAAAGUGAUGGGGA